AUUGAACGCUGUCGGCAGGCCUAACACAUGCAAGUCUAGCGGGGCGGCUGAAGGGUGAGUAAUGCCUAGGUAGCUGCCCGGUAGUGGGUGUUAACGUCCAGAUUCGGGCGUUAAUACCGCAUACUAUCAGAUCAGCCUAGGGCGGAUUAGCUAGUUGGUGGGGUAAUGGCCUACAAAGGCGACGAUCCGUAACUGGUCUGAGAGGAUGAUCAGUCACACUGGAACUGAGGCACGGUCCAGACUCCAACGGGAGGCAGCAGUGGGGAGUAUUGGACAAUGGGCGAAAGCCUAAUCCAGCCAUGCCGCGUGUGUGAGGAAGGUAUUCGGAUUGUAAAGCACUUUAAGUUGGUGGGCGUUACCAGCAGAAUAAGCACCGGCUAACUUCGUGCCAGCAGCCGCGGUAAUUC
rnacentral:rRNA from 1 species